GAAGGCGUAGCUUAGUGGUAGAGCACGUGCUUAGCGUGCACGAGGUCCAGGGUUCAGUCCCUAGUACCUCCA
rnacentral:tRNA from 1 species